AGCAGCCGCGGUAAUUCCAGCUCCAAUAGCGUAUAUUAAAGUUGUUGCAGUUAAAAAGCUCGUAGUUGAAUUUCGGGAUUCUACCGUUGGUCGGGCUAUUGUCUGUACUGGCGUGUAGAAUUUCUACCUCCUGGGGAACUAUCAUGUUAUUAAUUUAGCGUGGUAGGAAACCAGGACCUUUACCUUGAAAAAAUUAGAGUGUUCAAAGCAGGCUUAUGUCUGAAUACAUUAGCAUGGAAUAAUAAAAUAGGACGGUGGUCCUGUUUUGUUGGUUUCUGAAUCACCGUAAUGAUUAAUAGGGAUAGUUGGGGGCAUUAGUAUUCAAUUGUCAGAGGUGAAAUUCUUGGAUUUAUUGAAGACUAACUACUGCGAAAGCAUUUGCCAAGGAUGUUUUCAUUAAUCAAGAACGAAAGUUAGGGGAUCGAAGACGAUCAGAUACCGUCGUAGUCUUAACCAUAAACUAUGCCGACUAGGGAUCGGAUGAUGUUAAUUUUUUAAUGUACUCAUUCGGCGCCUUACG
rnacentral:rRNA from 1 species